AAAAAUUCCAAAAACAAGUCUUCCAUAGACAUGCCUGAAUUUGACAGUGUUUUGCUGGAUGACCAGCGGGGGUUAUAGAGCACAAUACCAGCCAAGGACCUGGAAUAUGGAUAUCUUGAACAAGACCCACAAGGCAUAUCCGCUCAUUUAGUCCGAGUUGGAGCCCAUCAAAAACAGGAGAUGAUCUGAACUUCGGCGAGUCCCGCGCUUCCUGCAGGACCGUUCCUGCUUCUCUGCCGGGGACCGGGCACGAAACUCGUGCAACGAGGACAAAACGGCAUGGAGAAAACUGAGGCUUCAUCCCACUCUGUAUCCUAAGUGCUAAAGAGCCCGU